ACAUCCUUGGAUGUCAGUUGAGUAAGUAGAAGAACUUCUGAUAAAUAGAAGGAUUCCUGAUAAACAAAGCUGGACUGGGUUGAAAAUUUGUGGCAGAGAGCUGGACCCUCGUCAUACCCACGCACUUUGUCACUGAGAUAGGGUAACCCAUGGUAACUGAGCUCAUCUCAGUUAAGGGACAGAGUGCCUCCCCUCCUCAUUCCUCUAUAAAAGAGACCUAUCAAAGAUACCCUACCAGUUCCAAGCAACCAGCUCAGACAAAGGUGAAGGAAAAACUGAGCCCCGACCUGGUGAGAAGAGUGACAGUCUACAAGGUAUAGAAUGUCGCCUGCCUUCAAACUUCAGUGUCACUUCAUCCUGAUCUUUCUGGGAGCUCUUAGAGGAGAGACCAGAUACCUGGAGCUGCGGGAGGUUGCAGAAGCCGACCCUUUCUUGUUCUUCAGCGCCGACCUGAAGCGGGAGCUGUCCGAGGAACAGCUCUAUCACCGCUCGCUGAAAUGCAUAGACAUGCUGAGCAUCGAGGGUCAGUUCACCUUCACCGCGGAGCAGCCCCAGCUGCACUGCGCCGCCUUCUUCAUUGGGGAACCGGAGGAAGUCAUCUCCAUCCAAUACGACCUGGUCAACAUUGACUGCCACGGCGGAGACUUCCUGAAGGUUUUUGAUGGUUGGAUUCUUAAAGGAGAGAAAUUUCCCAGUUCCCAGGAUCAUCCUCUUCCUAUGUCUGACCGGUACAUAGAUUUCUGCAAAAGUGGCAAUAUCAGAAGUUUUAGCUCAUCACAGAAUGUGGCUAUGAUUUUCUUCCGGAUUCAUGAGACAGGCAAUGGAUUUACAAUAACCAUAAAGAAAAACCCUAACCUCUUCCCCUGCAAUGUCAUCUCUCAGACCCCAAAUGGAAGGUUUACCAUGGUGAUUCCUCAUCAGCACAGAAACUGCAGUUUCUCUAUCAUUUAUCCAGUGGUUAUAAAAAUCUCAGAUCUCAUAUUGGGGCACUUAAAUAACCUUCAGCUAAAGAAACCUUCAGUAGGUUGUGGGGGAAUAGGAGAUUUUGUGGAGCUACUGGGAGGAACUGGAUUGGACCCUUCGAAGAUGAUGCCUUUUGCUGAUCUAUGUUAUCCUUUUCAUGGCCCUGGUGAGGGCGUGAAAAUACAAGAUUUCUAAAGUUCUUUCCAGCUCUAAAUCCUGUGACGGCUAUGUUGGAAGUAUUGCAUAUUGUAACCUGAAAAUUGAACUGAAGAAACACAAAACCCACUUUAUCAGUACCUCUGAUACCUUAUGGAAGGCUUGUCUGGCAAGAGCAAAGGAACAAACAAAUGUAUUCCAAAACUGUGAGGUCCAAAAGACUUAGGCUACAGGAGUAAAGUUCUGAUGGUGAACUUUGAAGAUGUAGCCAACAAGGAGACAAUACAUUUGAGGACCAGGUUCUUCCUGGCUUCCCUAAAACCAUACUGUGUGAGAAGUCAUCUGUAUUGCCCACCUGUAGGACUGACUGACUGGUCCUUGACUCAAAAGCCAAAGUGGAAACAAGUGACUUAAGAAUGAAAAAGAUGGACUUCUGCAUGGAAACACCUUGGGGAACUGGUUCUCAAGUCACAGGUUAGGACUUCAGAGGUGGG